CCUACGGGGGGCUGCAGUGAGGAAUAUUGGUCAAUGGCCGCAGGGCUGAACCAGCCAAGUCGCGUGAGGGAUGACGGUCCUAUGGAUUGUAAACCUCUUUUGUCAGGGAGCAAAGGGCGCCACGUGUGGCGCUUUGCGAGUACCUGAAGAAAAAGCAUCGGCUAACUCCGUGCCAGCAGCCGCGGUAAUACGGAGGAUGCGAGCGUUAUCCGGAUUUAUUGGGUUUAAAGGGUGCGCAGGCGGAAUGUCAAGUCAGCGGUAAAAUUUCGGGGCUCAACCCCGUCGUGCCGUUGAAACUGGCGUUCUUGAGUGAGCGAGAGGUAUGCGGAAUGCGUGGUGUAGCGGUGAAAUGCAUAGAUAUCACGCAGAACUCCGAUUGCGAAGGCAGCAUACCGGCGCUCAACUGACGCUCAUGCACGAAAGCGUGGGUAUCGAACAGGAUUAGAUACCCGGGUAGUC
rnacentral:rRNA from 1 species